GGGGGAUAUUGCACAAUGGAGGAAACUCUGAUGCAGCAACGCCGCGUGAGGGAAGAAGGUCUUCGGAUUGUAAACCUUUGUCCUUGGUGACGAAACAAAUGACGGUAGCCAAGGAGGAAGCUCCGGCUAACUACGUGCCAGCAGCCGCGGUAAUACGUAGGGAGCGAGCGUUGUCCGGAUUUACUGGGUGUAAAGGGUGCGUAGGCGGCUUUGCAAGUCAGGUGUGAAAACUAUCGGCUUAACUGAUAGACUGCAUUUGAAACUGUGGAGCUUGAGUGAAGUAGAGGCAGACGGAAUUCCCGGUGUAGCGGUGAAAUGCGUAGAGAUCGGGAGGAACACCAGUGGCGAAGGCGGUCUGCUGGGCUUUAACUGACGCUGAGGCACGAAAGCAUGGGUAGCAAAC
rnacentral:rRNA from 1 species